AUGCGGUCCACUGGUCCCUCGAGCCCGUGCACACCUCCAAGAACGACGCCCCCAAGGGGGGAACGACAUAAGAACGCCGCCGUCUUCCGAUCAACUGAUUUAGGGUUUCCCCCGGAGGUAGCAGACAGUGACCUUGAAACUCUCCUCGGCGAUGCCUUCAAGAAGGGAAUGUCGCAAAAUAGCGCCGCCACCGCCGGCUUUGGCAGUAAGCCGAAAGCAAGUUUUCACCCGGAUCUGUUCGAAGGACCUCCAUCAAGCACUCGUGCACGGAUCGCCGCCAUCUUUGCCGUGGACUGGACGAUGGAUCCAGGCCGCCACAGGUGCUCCUCGACCGCGGGGAGAACGCGCCUGCGCUGUCGUUGCCAUCACAUUCGCCGGCGGGCGCCCGCUGCUCCUUGCCGCCGAUGCACAUCACUGUGUUCUUGUUCUCGAUACGAUAGCUUUAUUUAG
rnacentral:rRNA from 1 species